rnacentral:rRNA from 1 species
AUGCCGGCCAUGGUGGCGCAGGAGGCGGAGCGCGCGGGGGAGGCGCCGCACUUCCUCGUGGUCACGUUCCCGGCGCAGGGCCACAUCAACCCGGCGCGCCACCUCGCGCUGCGCCUCCUCAGCGCCUCGCCGGGCGCCCGCGUCACCUUUUCCACCCCCGUCUCCGCUUUCCGCAAGAUGUUCACGGACGUCGAGGACGCGGAGGCGGUGGACCACGUCGACGGCGCCGGCGUCCACUACGUGCCCUACUCCGACGGGUUCGACGGCGGCUUCGACACGUCAGCGCACGACAUCUCGUACUACAUGUCCAAUCUCAAGGCCGCGGGGUCCCGCACGCUCGGCGGCGUGCUCGCGCGCCUCCGCGACGCCGGCACCCCCGUCACGCAGGUGGUUUACACCGUGAUGCUCUCCUGGGUCGCCGCCGUCGCGCGCGCGCACGGCGUUCCCGCCGCGGCCUACUGGAUCCAGCCGGCCACCGUGCUCGCCGCCUACUUCCACUUCUUCCGUGGCACCGACGGCCUCGACCAGGCCGUCGCCGCCGCGGCGAGCGACCCGUGGGCGGACGUCCGCGUCCGGGGGCUCCCGCCGAUGCGCCUGCGCGACCUGCCGUCGUUCUUCACCAUCGCCUCCGACGUCGACCACCCCUACGCCUUCGUCCUCACCGCGUUCCGCGAGCUCCUCGACGUGCUGGACCGCGAGGACACGCCCACCGUGCUCGUCAACACGUUCGACGCUAUGGAGCCUGAUGCGGUGGCGACGCUGCGCCAGCACGGCGUCGACGUCGUCCCCAUCGGCCCCGUGCUCUCCUUCCUGGACGCAUCGGCGGCGCCGGUCAACAACAACAACGAUCUGUUCAAGCUGGACGGCAAGGGGUACCUGGAGUGGCUGGACGCGCAGGAAGCGGGGUCGGUCGUCUACAUCUCCUUCGGGAGCCUGUCGACGAUGAGCAAGCGGCAGAUCGCGGAGGUGGCGCGCGGCAUGGCGGAGAUCGGCCGCCCGUUCCUGUGGGUGCUGAGGAAGGACAACCGCGGCGAGAUAGACGGCGACGACUCGUGCAGCGGCAUCGGCUCCAGCGCGGGCAUGGUGGUGGAGUGGUGCGACCAGGGGAAGGUGCUGUCGCACCCGGCGGUGGGGUGCUUCGUGUCGCACUGCGGUUGGAACUCGACGCUGGAGAGCGUGGCGUGCGGCGUGCCGGUAGUCGGGAUGCCGCAGUGGACGGACCAGGGCACCAAUGCGUGGCUGGUGGAGCGGAAGCUCGGCACCGGGGUCCGGGCCGCCGUGAGUGAGAAGGACGGCGUGCUGGAGACCGACGAGCUGCCGAGGUGCAUCGGCUCCGCCACGUCGGAUGUGGUGCGCGCCAAGGCGGCGCUGUGGAGGGAGAAGGCGAGGGCGGCGGCGGCCGUGGGCGGCUCAUCCGAGAGGAACCUCAGGGCGUUCGUCGCCGGCAACUAG